rnacentral:snRNA from 1 species
AGGGUUUUUAGCAACUACCA